rnacentral:rRNA from 1 species
AGAAUUGAUCUUGGUCAAGGACGAACGCUGGCGGCGUGCCUAACACAUGCAAGUCGAACGGAGAUGCUUUGAAGCUUGCGAUAAAGCAUCUUAGUGGCGGACGGGUGAGUAACGCGUGGGUAAUCUACCUUUAGUGGGGGAACAACAGUUGGAAACGACUGCUAAUACCGCAUAAGCUGUGCAAACAGGAAAGAUGGCCUCUGAAUAUGCUGUCGCUAAAAGAUGAGCCCGCGUCUGAUUAGCUAGUUGGUGGGGUAAAGGCCUACCAAGGCGACGAUCAGUAGCCGGCCUGAGAGGGUGAACGGCCACACUGGGACUGAGACACGGCCCAGACUCCUACGGGAGGCAGCAGGUGGGGAAUAUUGCGCAAGUGGGGAACCUGACGCAGCGACGCCGCGUGAGCGAAGAAGGCCUUAGGGUUGUAAAGCUCUUGGUUUUAGGGGACGAAUGUCACGAUCAGUAAUAUGGGUUGUGAAUGACGGUACCCUAAGAGGAAGCCCCGGCUAACUACGUGCCAGCCGCCGC